rnacentral:rRNA from 1 species
GUAGGUGGCAAGCGUUGUCCGGAAUUAUUGGGCGUAAAGCGCGCGCAGGCGGUUCUUUAAGUCUGAUGUGAAAGCCCACGGCUCAACCGUGGAGGGUCAUUGGAAACUGGAGAACUUGAGUACAGAAGAGGAAAGCGGAAUUCCACGUGUAGCGGUGAAAUGCGUAGAGAUGUGGAGGAACACCAGUGGCGAAGGCGGCUUUCUGGUCUGUAACUGACGCUGAGGCGCGAAAGCGUGGGGAGCAAACGGGGGAUUAGAUACCCUGGUAGUCCACGCCGUAAACGAUGAGUGCUAAGUGUUAGGGGGUUUCCCGCCCCUUAGUGCUGCAGCUAACGCAUUAAGCACUCCGCCUGGGGAGUACGGCCGCAAGGCUG